AUUGAACGCUGGCGACAUGCCUUACACAUGCAAGUCGAACGGCAGCACGGGUGCUUGCACCUGGUGGCGAGUGGCGAACGGGUGAGUAAUACAUCGGAACAUGUCCUGUAGUGGGGGAUAGCCCGGCGAAAGCCGGAUUAAUACCGCAUACGAUCUACGGAUGAAAGCGGGGGACCUUCGGGCCUCGCGCUAUAGGGUUGGCCGAUGGCUGUUUAGCUAGUUGGUGGGGUAAAGGCCUACCAAGGCGACGAUCAGUAGCUGGUCUGAGAGGACGACCAGUCACACUGGGACUGAGACACGGCCCAGACUCCUACGGGAGGCAGCAGUGGGGAAUUUUGGACAAUGGGCGAAAGCCUGAUCCAGCAAUGCCGCGUGUGUGAAGAAGGCCUUCGGGUUGUAAAGCACUUUUGUCCGGAAAGAAAUCCUUGGCCCUAAUACGGUCGGGGGAUGACGGUACCGGAAGAAUAAGCACCGGCUAACUACGUG
rnacentral:rRNA from 1 species